AGAAAGCUUCUGUGCACUCACCUGCACCUACUUGAGCAUCUGCGCAUUUCCCUCCCACACGUACCUUACGUAAACAAGGACGGCCUUCCCCUGUUUAAGUAUCCCCUUGAGUCUCUACCGCCUGUUCAUUCUUGAAGCCCUCCCGGAACAGAUCCGGACAAGUGGCACCUAAAACAGGGACCUGAAACAGCCGCCUGGCGAACAGUGCGAGUUUGGGUGAAGAAUCGCGGUACCCAGGAACAGGAUUUGUUUUUAUUUCUAGAUUUGGUCAAAUUGCAGAUAUAUUGACUUGCUUCUGGGACCUAGAUCAAACCUUUGUUUGUCAGCUUGCCACACUACAGACCCAUCCCCCUAGCAGACCGAGCAUCGUCCCUGUUCAGCAUGAAGAAGCAAUUGACAGCCAUCGCCCAUUUUUCCUGAUGUAAUUUGGACUGAUGGGGGGGAGUGGGAAAGUGGUUGACUUGUUAGAAUUUUCCCUGUAUUACUGUGCUGUGUUUUAAGACUUGGGAUGGAAAUUGUUAAACUUGUGUAAUUAUUGCUGUUAUGUUUGAAGAACUUUUAGUCUGUUAUGUAUAUGAUUUAUAUGUGGGAUGGUCAUUUGAUAAUUCCUUUCCAAAAGAAAAAAAAGGGAGGAGAAGAAAUAGGAAAUUGGGAAAACUGGUAUCUUGCUAAUUCAGAUUUAAUUGGAAGUCCUUUACUCCUUGCUUAAAUUUACUAGACUACGAUUUGCUGGUUGUGCUUUAUUAGAAAUCCCUUAUUCUGUUGGAAUUGCCCUAGCAGACUCAGUUUUGGGGAUUAUUUUUUAGAAACAACCAGAAUUUGGAUACCUGUCUUGGAACUGGUAGUCCUCUCUGAGCUGUUUCUCCAUUUCCUGUUACCCCAGGUCUUUAAUUAGUAGUUCAGCGUACUUAAAAGGACCUUGUUGAUAUUGAGGCCUCUAAAAGUUUGGGGUUUGCCUUGCCUUGGUCUAACUGUGCAUAAUCUGCAUUCUAGUAGCAGCCUUGUUUGUUCCUCUGGGCGGGACAGGUGGGGGUACUCCAAGCCUCACCCUUCUCUCCUGGAGCCGGCUGCCCCUCUGAAUGGGCAACACAACUACCUCCUGCCUGCUGCUCUGUAAGCAGAGGCUAAGUCAUGCACAAGUGGCCACAGCUAUCCAUAUACUCCCCAACUGCAGAGGAUCUGACAAUUGAUUGUCAGAAAUAAUUGAAAUAAGGAACUUUGUGUACUGCUGAUUAACUCUGGAGUUAUCAGAGAGAGACUUGACCUUGACAUAAGUCCUUGUAUUGGUCUAGCUUUAUUUUGAUUUUUAUUUGGUCUAUUUACUUCACAUAGGGUUGUUCAAAUUAUGGUGGUAAGGCCUUCUAGAGGAAGGUAAUUCAAAGAUUUGAAUAGUUCCAAGAGAAAAAGGGGGGAAUGUUAUGCCAAAGUCCCUUUUAAUGGGGUGACCCAGUUUUCCAAUUGUCCUAUUUCGCUAUUCUGCCUUAGGUUAUAACUGUCCCCUCUUAAUGAUUGAGAUAAAGGUUUUAUAGACAUUCCUUAAUGUUUGACAAGAUAAAGGUUUAUCCAUUUCAGAUUUCAUUAGAAUAUCAGUAAUGUCAUUGUUCUUUUUAUUCCAUAAAAAGUUUGCUACCCUGAUACUAGACUCUUUGAGAAGAUAGUCUCAUCUAGCCCUGGGAUCAACAUGGAUCCAUUGGUCCCAGUAUUUCUCAACAUUUAAUAAAUUAUUGAAUUGGUCUCUA
ensembl:lncRNA